rnacentral:rRNA from 1 species
CCUACGGGUGGCAGCAGUAGGGAAUUUUCGUCAAUGGGCGCAAGCCUGAACGAGCGAUGCCGCGUGAGUGAAGAAGGCCUUCGGGUCGUAAAGCUCUGUUGCGGGGGAAAAAAGGCAGCAUCAGGAAAUGGGUGCUGACUGAUGGUGCCCCGCCAGAAAGUCACGGCUAACUACGUGCCAGCAGCCGCGGUAAUACGUAGGUGGCGAGCGUUAUCCGGAAUGAUUGGGCGUAAAGGGUGCGUAGGCGGCCUGCUAAGUCUGGAGUGAAAGGUACCGGCUCAACCGGUACAGGCUCUGGAAACUGGCGGGCUAGAGAGCAGGAGAGGGCGGUGGAACUCCAUGUGUAGCGGUAAAAUGCGUAGAUAUAUGGAAGAACACCAGUGGCGAAGGCGGCCGCCUGGCCUGUUACUGACGCUGAGGCACGAAAGCGUGGGGAGCAAAUAGGAUUAGAUACCCUGGUAGUC